AAGGAUUUCAAGGGAUACACCUAUUCAAACAGUUGCCUCAGUUUCUAUAAAUUCUGGGCGAAUUCUCAUUUGCAAACACAUUAAAACAAUUUAUUCUUCCUUCUUUCUCUUGGCAUCAAUCAGUUAUUUUCGAGUGUCUUCUUGGUUUGAUCAAAUAAUCACAAUUUGAAUCAAACGCCUCCAUUGUAUCCUGAGAGAGAUUUUCUAUCAUACCCCAGUUGUGACUUUGUUGAAUAGGGGAGAAACAUCUCUUAAAAGAUAACGUUUUUU
rnacentral:lncRNA from 1 species